GUUGAACGCUAGCGGCAUGCCUUACACAUGCAAGUCGAACGGCAGCGGGGGAGCUUGCUCCCGCCGGCGAGUGGCGAACGGGUGAGUAAUACAUCGGAACGUACCCAGUAGCGGGGGAUAGCCCGGCGAAAGCCGGAUUAAUACCGCAUACGCCCUACGGGGGAAAGGGGGGGAUCGCAAGACCUCUCACUAUUGGAGCGGCCGAUGGCUGAUUAGCUAGCUGGUGGGGUAAAGGCCUACCAAGGCGACGAUCAGUAGCUGGUCUGAGAGGACGACCAGCCACACUGGGACUGAGACACGGCCCAGACUCCUACGGGAGGCAGCAGUGGGGAAUUUUGGACAAUGGGCGAAAGCCUGAUCCAGCAAUGCCGCGUGUGCGAAGAAGGCCUUCGGGUUGUAAAGCACUUUUGUCAGGGAAGAAAUCGUUUGGGUUAAUACCCCGAGCAGUUGACGGUACCUGAAGAAUAAGCACCGGCUAACUACGUGCCAGCCGCCGCAGUAA
rnacentral:rRNA from 1 species